GGGCAAUUUAAACGUAUAGUGUGAGAUAACACAUCACAUACGACCAGUAAAAGUGUCUGCUCGACUUUAGUCUUAUUUACAAAAAGUAUGAAAUCGCUGGUGCAUGAAGACCACACGAUAUAUAUAGCUGGGCAAAAUGAUUCAUACUGUGAUGUUUUUGUAUCACAAUAUAUUGUAUUUGAAUAUAUUGUCCAUCCCUAGUUGUUAUUAUUUGGUACUUUGUCUCACAGCUGGUCAGCUGGACCAUGGCUUGGUGCUUGGAAUAACUGUCCCAGUCACUGUUGUCAUCCUCCUCCUCCUCAUCAUCAUCACCUACUUAAUCCGGAGACGCAGGUUAAAAAGACAAGGAAAUGAACCAAACCAUAUCUAUGAUGAGAUACAGAAUGAGUUAGUGCCUCAAACUGCAACAGGUGCACUUCGGCCCGCUGGAGGAACUGUGUACUAUUUGGCAACGUCUCCAGGUACAUGGUCUUUAGGGCACACAGACAAACUGAACUGUCCACCAU